UGGAAAUAGAGGAGCUGGCAGCAGGCUAUAAUCAGUCGGCAAACCAGUCCAAAAGUGUCUCCGCACUAUUAAUAAGGCAAAAUAACAGAAGGCACUAGGCAAUAGUUGGGCUGCACAGAGCCAGGUAAUCAAGCCAUGUCCAGCACCGUCAACAUUAAUAAUUCCUUAAAGUGCUUAAUUCUCUGUUAACGUCACCUUCCCUACCAAAAUCUGCACUGGAGGCUAACAUUGCCGUGCUCCCAAAACCAGGCAAGGACUCCACGAACUGUGGUAGCUACAGAGCCAUUUCACUGAUAAAUAUUGAUUUGAAAAGUUUUACCAAAAUCCUGGCAACUAGAUUGAAGUCAUUGCUUUCGGGGCUAGUCCACCCUGACCAGUCGGGCUUUGUUCCAGGGAGAGAGGCCAAAAAUAAUACCACUAAACUCAUAAACCUAAUGCACUUGGGGGCCUUACUCGCGAUCAAUGCCGAAAAGGUGUUCAACAGGUGUUCGAACAGUUAUGCCAACAGCACCCACUAACAAAGAAACUCGUCUCUUCCAUGUAUGUCAUCCUGUGGGAAACACAUGCCCAGACCCUCCCACACUUCACGGUGAAGUGGACGUAGGCGCUACAGAUGACCCUCACACCUAAGCAGUGGAAAAAAAGAGCACACAUGUCAUCUACAAAUCUGAUUACCCAGGAAAGUAACUAUAAACGUCUUACACUUGGCACUACACUCCAGCAAAAAUCCGCAAAUUACACAGCACCAGAUGAGGGUUGGAGAUGUCAUCAAGCAGACGCACACACAACACAUAUAUGGUUGCAAUGUCCUGAAAUCCCAAAAUUUGGGAAGCGUAUACACACUCUCAUCCAAACAUACACGUCCUUGACGAUUCCGUUUUCCCCUGAGUACAUACUGUUCCUAUCACCCAUCCCGAACGCUAAAGCACACAAGUCCAAUUUGAUCACCCAGCUACUCAUGGCAGCCAAUUUACUUAUCCCAGCCCUAUGGAAACAGGCAAACCUCCCAUCGAUAAGGGAUUAGAUGCAAAGAGUGGACCGCAUGAAACAGAUGCAAGAGAUCACAUAUUCCAUUACCAAAAGAUACAUAAAAUUCACCCAAAUUUGGGAACCAUGAAGUGUCUUUAUCCAAGCAGAAGUAACUCCACGCUGAUCCUAGACCCGAAAAAUGUGCAUAUUAAUAUCCAUCAGAUAGUGGUUUCUGGACAAAGACCAAACUUGCUAGAACACCCUCGAGUUAGAUACCCAACCCUAUACCAGAUGACUCUCAAGGUAGCCCCCUCUCCCCCCAUCACCCCAACAAACUUUCAAACAGUGCUUAAAGGUGGUGGGGACAUGUCAGUGAACUCACAUAGCACCAAAAGGGACUCACAUCGGUAGGGACCAAUGACUCUACCAUUAAAUCUCAUACAAGGGUAACGUUUUCAGGGACAGCGGAUAGUCACAUAACAAGUAUAUGUGUACUGAGUUUCAAGCCAUCCUACCGAACUUCCAAUGGAUUAGUGGAUUGCAUUUGAAGUGUUAAUCAACAUGUGUCAGAGAGUUAUUUAUUAAAUGUAAUUUCAUUUCUACACUAUACCUAGACAAGACAAGUUGGUGCAUACAGCUGGUGUUAAUGCUACGAGUAUCACUGCAAGUUUGUACGGGACUUUUGUACUUUUAACUUGGCUUGUCGAGAAUAUGUACUAAGCAUUGUUAUAAUCUUUCAUGUACCUUUUACUUGAAGUGUCAAGAAUAUGUACUAAGCAAUGUUA